GCUCACAUGUCAUCUCCACCAUAGUGUCCAUGCCAUGGAUAACAGAAACCAACUUCCCUUUUCAUAGAUUCUACAGACCUUUGAAAGCUAUUGAAUUUUAAGACGACUUACAGGGACAUUGAUUCUCCACCUGGAGGAGGCAAGAAGAAGCCUUGUCCAAGCUGAAUGCAGAGAGACACCUUUUUAUAAAAAGAGAAGAGGAAAAAUGGCAGAGAAGUAGGGAGCUCUGUACUUUUUGCCUGCGGAACUCUCAAAGACUGAAGCAUUAAGACAUGGGACCACAAGAGUCUGGGAGGAAAACAGACAGAGUCCGCUAAGAAGACAGCCUCAUAGAUGCUUCCUGGAUGUCUAAGAGUAUCUUGUCCUUUUUUAUAGCAGUGUCCCCAAAACUUUACUGGCACAAAAGCGUAAGUGAAGGAGCAAUGUCGAAUGUACUCAACUAUUUAGAGGGAAGAGGAGAUUCCCCUUAUACAGUGAAUAACCUAAUAAAUCCCAAUUAAAUACCAUGCACUCAAA